rnacentral:rRNA from 1 species
CAGUAGCCGCGGUAAUACAGAGGGUGCGAGCGUUAAUCGGAUUUACUGGGCGUAAAGCGUGCGUAGGCGGCUUCUUAAGUCGGAUGUGAAAUCCCUGAGCUUAACUUAGGAAUUGCAUUCGAUACUGGGAAGCUAGAGUAUGGGAGAGGAUGGUAGAAUUCCAGGUGUAGCGGUGAAAUGCGUAGAGAUCUGGAGUAAUACCGAUGGCGAAGGCAGCCAUCUGGCCUAAUACUGACGCUGAGGUACGAAAGCAUGGGGAGCAAACAGGAUUAGAUACCCGUGUAGUCCCUGUCUCUUAUAC